UGUAGGCGCAGCGAAAGCGAGUCUUAAUAGGGCGCAUGAGUUAGAUGGAUCAGACCCGAAACCGAGUGAUCUAGGCAUGACCAGGAUGAAGGUAAGGUAACACUUACUGGAGGUCCGAACCCACACCUGUUGAAAAAGGUCGGGAUGAGUUGUGCCUAGGGGUGAAAGGCCAAUCAAACUCGGAGAUAGCUGGUUCUCUGCGAAAUCUAUUUAGGUAGAGCGUCGACCGAAUACCCUCGGGGGUAGAGCACUGGAUGGGCUAGGGGGACUCACCGUCUUACCAAACCUUACCAAACUCCGAAUACCUGGAAGUAAUAUCUGGCAGACACACGGCGGGUGCUAACGUCCGUCGUGAAGAGGGAAACAACCCUGACCGCCGAUUAAGGUCCCCAAGUUAUGGCUAAGUGGGAAAGGAAGUGGAAAUCCCAAAACAACCAGGAUGUUGGCUUAGAAGCAGCCAUCAUUUAAAGAAAGCGUAACAGCUCACUGGUCUA
rnacentral:rRNA from 1 species